UAGAUGCGAGAGUAGAGCAUAUCAAUAAGCGGAGGAAAAGAAACUAACAAGGAUUCCCCUAGUAACGGCGAGUGAAGCGGGAAGAGCUCAAAUUUGAAAUCUUCAAGGGUUCUACCUUGACGAAUUGUAGUUUAAAGAAGUGUUUUCUGUUGGAGUUUCGGUAAAAGUUCUUUGGAAUAGGACAUCAUAGAGGGUGAGAAUCCCGUAUUUGACCGUUACUUUCCAGCUGUGUGAUACACUUUCAAAGAGUCGGAUUGUUUGGGAAUGCAGUCCAAAAUGGGUGGUAAAUUUCAUCUAAAGCUAAAUAUUGGCGAGAGACCGAUAGCGAACAAGUACCGUGAGGGAAAGAUGAAAAGAACUUUGAAAAGAGAGUUAAACAGUACGUGAAAUUGUCAAAAGGGAAGCGUUUGACACCAGUGUUGUUUAGUUGAAAAUCAAUUCAAUAAUUUUUGAUUUUGAGUAGUAUUGACUUCAUCAGCUUGCUGCUUUCUUUUCAGAAAUUAUUGAAUGCACUUUUCAGUUAACAAGUCAGCAUCAAUUUCUUUUGUUGUAAAAGGGUAAGAGGAAGGUAGCUUACGCUUCGGCGUAAGUGUUUAUAGCCUUUUACCUCUGCAAUCGGAGAGAUUGAGGACAGCAGCGUAGACUCUUCGGGGUUAGAUACACUUGUGCUAAGCUAUAGCCUUGUAUAGACAACUUGUUGACUAUGCUCAGUCAUGUAGCUUACUCGCUUGUGCUAUUUUACCUACGCUUAGGAUGUUGACGCGCGUGUGUGCGUG
rnacentral:rRNA from 1 species